CCUGCAGAAUAAAUUCAAAUAUCGACUCAUUUCACCACCAUAGGAAGAGAAAGAGAGAAAGAGAGAAGAAAAUGCUCACGCUUUCCAUCCUAACUUGCUUGUGUGUUCAAUGAAGUUCAAAUUUCUAUCUAGUGGUGAGAAUGUGUGCAGAAGAUCUGUAAGUAGCAUCAAAAUUUUUCCUCGUUAAAUCACACCAAAGCAAGAAAAGGAAAGAAAAUUAGAUACACCGGUGAUUUUAGCUACUGAACUUCUAUGUUCUAAACCCUCCAACCUUGUUUCAUAUGUUGAAAGAGAAUGGGGAAGCACUUCUCAACCUUAUGCCUAUCUAUUUAUUCGAACAAUGAGACAAAAAUAUUCAACCGGGUCUUGUUUCACAGCUUGAAAACUCUCAAAUCAAUUGAUGGCAGUGUGGCUAACGAGAUCAUAAGCAAGAAAGGUUCACUGGUGCAAGCAAAUGGCUGGUAUAUUGCCAAAAUUAAAUGAUGGAAAUGAGACUGACCGUCUUGAGUGAUGAGAGGGUAGUCUGAGGCACUAAGGUUGAUAAACCAAUCCCAGUCAUUGCUUCUCUUGAGAAGAAUAGCACAAGCAUGGAGAGUAUUAGCCACCAUUGUUGGCCCUCUGUGACUCCAGGUCCAAAUGAACAACGUAUUGAUUCAAUGGAUGGUAAACUGCUUUGAGAGUUCUCCACAGCUUCUCUAAGUCGCCUUUUGAUCCUGAAACCAGGUAAGCAAACCGUGGAAUCAUAAAUGCAGGGUUCGGCGGUGGCGGAGACUGUGGUAACCUCCCAAUUUUCCUCUCGGCAAACAACGCUGGGUCCGUUUGGUUUGUGGCCAUUGGAGAUGGAAACAUUGAGAAGAUUGAAUUGAUUGUGUGAACAGAAGAGAUUAGUCCCAUGUUGAAGGAAGUAGCAAGGAGGAAUAUACAUAUUACAGAACUUAUCCCAAGAGGAAAUAGCCAUUUCUUCUCUAAGCUGAGAUGCCCCAUAGCAGAUUCUUAUCAUAAGUUCUUGCAGAUCAAACUCUCAUCUGCUUGAUGUUUUGCAACUCCAAUCAACAGUCUUUAAUCAAACAAAUAAAUGACAUUUAGACUUUAAUCAAAUGAACAGAAAAAAAGAAAAGAAAAAACACCACUAUCUAGAAUUAACAUCUAUUCUCACAAAGUAACAAGAGCUUUUGAUAUUGAAACAAAGUGAAACAAGUCCAAAUAACAUCAAAUUUGGCCAAAACUGCACUAAAAUCACCAUAUAAACCUACCGUUUUCAUUUGAUAAACACAAUUAACAAGAGAGGAAAUGCUUAAAACACAAUGAGGAUGAACUAACAUAUCUUUCUCUCUCCAAAAUUCUAGGAAUCCAAAUCAGUGAAACAGUAACAAACCCCAAUCUGUACACUCAGUAAUAGGCAGCAAAUUCAACUGAAUAACAUUAAGACUAAAGCACCAAUAAGAAUCCAAAAACAAGCACGACCCAGAUAAGAAAAUCGAUUUAUCAAAUCAACCCAGAUACCCAAAUCCAAGAAAAAACUCAAACUAUUCACAAUAUCAGAGGCACAAAACGAAAACAGACAUAACAAAUAAGAAGAAACAAAAACAAAAGAAUACCCAGAAAUGGUGGCACCAGUGAGAGCAGAAGAAGAGCAGCAAUCUGAUUCAAAGCCAGAAGAGAAUCAAAAGUGAAGCAACAGAAGAAGAAGAUAAUUAUGUUGGUGAAGGAAUAAAUGAAGCAGAAGGCGACAUGGGUUUGCUGUACGCACGUCCAGAGAAGAAGGAAGAAUAUUAUUUAAAAAAGGAAAUAAAAAAAAAAAAGGAUUGCUCAGAUUUUGGACUGAGAAGAGAAGAUGAAAGUCAGAGAUGGGAAAAUAAAAUAAUGAGGAAAAAGAAAGGAGGAAUUGGAGAGUUAGCCAUUUCUGUUAUGGUGUUAGCUUUCUUUGGGAUCUUGACCAAGACAACGGCUACUUACCCUACCAUUAUAAUUUGUUUUCUAGUAAAAAUAUCGCUUUCAUCUUA